UAAACCUGGUGUUGCUCGUGACAGCGCAACCGGGAGUCGUGAGACUGCGUGGGAGCUGGGACUCAGCAUCGCUGCCUGAGUAUCGCCCCGACACAAGAAACAGAGGAAAAAAAAAAGAGAGAAGAAAUGGGAGCACAUCAACAGUUCAUGCAAACCACAACCUGGACUGUGACACUGUGCACAAAGAGCAGACACACAAGCCAGACUAUAGAGAACAGCAAGAUUAAAAAAAAAAAAAUCAUCACCCUGCGAAAGAGGGCAUGGUGCACAUAUCUGCAAGUUGCAGCAGCCUGGAGAACAAAAAGGCUGCUGUUUGGAAAUGGAGGCAGAAGUAUAGUGAGCUUAAAGGCACAGCACAUGGAAAACCUGCUGCGAGCCCCAUCGCCAGCGCUCCCCGAAGAAGGGAAGACUCUACCCCUGUGCCAUUGUUCCAGGACUCAGGUAAUGACAGGAGUUGCCAAGUAAAGAUGUUGCUGAUUGAGAACCAAGAUUUACUGUCUGCUAUCCCAGAAAGACAGUACAGAUGUUACAGAAAACCAAAGCCCUGAGUUCAUCACACCUUGAGAGCAUUUGCUUGUGUCCUGGAUGAAUUCAUAACUGCAGCAAACACGUAUUUGAAGUUCUGCUUUGCUCCUUACACCUUUCUGACUUAUUCCUUGCACUUCUCAUUUUACUAGAGUUGCAAAGUCAUUGAGAAAUUUUAACUUGUUGAAAUAGCGCUGGGUAAAUGUAAUUAAUUUGGAAUAAGGAGAAGUUGGAGUUGGAGUUUGAGACAUAUCCUUGAUGAUAGAAAUAAAAAUCAGUCUAUGUGAGUGAAAUAAAUAUUUCCAUCUCUUUUUUUAUCUUGUCAGGAUAGGAAAAGCAAGGUAUUUGAUGGGUCAGGCUUGAUGAAUUCAGGGGGGCUGUGUGUAUUUGGGAGCAGGCCUGCCCUGGGUUAUGGAACUAGAAUUUCAGGUGGAAGAAGAAGGGUGACCCAGCUUUGAGACCAAGUCUUUGAUUUUCAUGGUUGUUAACAUCCUCUUUGUAACUUGUCCUUCUUGGUGGUUUAUGACCUUGUU